CAGCCGCCGCGGUAAUACGGCGGGUGCGAGCGUUAAUCGGAAUUACUGGGCGUAAAGCGCACGUAGGCGGUUAGGUAAGUCGGAUGUGAAAGCCCUGGGCUUAACCUGGGAACUGCAUUCGAUACUGCCUGGCUAGAGUAUGGGAGAGGGAAGCGGAAUUUCCGGUGUAGCGGUGAAAUGCGUAGAUAUCGGAAGGAACACCAAUGGCGAAGGCAGCUUCCUGGCCCAAUACUGACGCUCAGGCACGAAAGCGUGGGGAGCAAACAGGAUUAGAUACCCUGGUAGUCCACGCCCUAAACGAUGUCAACUGGGUGUUGGGGAAGCGAUUCCUUGGUACCGUAGCUAACGCGUGAAGUUGACCGCCUGGGGAGUACGGCCGCAAGGUUAAAACUCAAAGGAAUUGACGG
rnacentral:rRNA from 1 species